rnacentral:rRNA from 1 species
GACGAACGCUGGCGGCGUGCUUAACACAUGCAAGUCGAACGAUGAAGCCCAGCUUGCUGGGUGGAUUAGUGGCGAACGGGUGAGUAACACGUGAGUAACCUGCCCCUGACUCUGGGAUAAGCGUUGGAAACGACGUCUAAUACUGGAUAUGACUACUGGUCGCAUGGCCUGGUGGUGGAAAGAUUUUUUGGUUGGGGAUGGACUCGCGGCCUAUCAGCUUGUUGGUGAGGUAAUGGCUCACCAAGGCGACGACGGGUAGCCGGCCUGAGAGGGUGACCGGCCACACUGGGACUGAGACACGGCCCAGACUCCUACGGGAGGCAGCAGUGGGGAAUAUUGCACAAUGGGCGAAAGCCUGAUGCAGCAACGCCGCGUGAGGGAUGACGGCCUUCGGGUUGUAAACCUCUUUUAGUAGGGAAGAAGCGAAAGUGACGGUACCCGCAGAAAAAGCACCGGCUAACUACGUGCCAGCCGCCGCUGUAAGAC